CCCUUAGAUGUUCUGGGCCGCACGCGCGCUACACUGAUGCAUUCAACGAGCCUAUCCUUGACCGACAGGUCCGGGUAAUCUUUGAAUCUGCAUCGUGACGGGGAUAGAUUAUUGCAAUUAUUAAUCUUCAACGAGGAAUGCCUAGUAGGCGCAAGUCAUCAGCUUGCGUCGAUUACGUCCCUGCCCUUUGUACACACCGCCCGUCGCUCCUACCGAUUGGGUGUGCUGGUGAAAUGUUCGGAUCGGCCGUUUGUCGCGGUUUCCGCGUGAUGUGGCUGAGAAGUUCAUUAAACCCUCCCACCUAGAGGAAGGAGAAGUCGUAACA
rnacentral:rRNA from 1 species